UAUUUAGCAUUUAGCCUAGCGGUUCCUUCAUAAUUUGCUAAUUCGUGUUCAACUCUAGUUGCUAGCAGUUCAAGUCCCGUGGGCGCUGUCUGGCUUUCCU
rnacentral:vault_RNA from 1 species